GACGUAGGGCGCGAGCGUUGUCCGGAAUUAUUGGGCGUAAAGAGCUCGUAGGCGGACUGUCACGUCUGCUGUGAAAAGCUAGGGCUUAACCCUGGCCUUGCAGUGGAUACGGGCAGACUAGAGGUAGGUAGGGAGAAUGGAAUUCCCGGUGUAGCGGUGAAAUGCGCAGAUAUCGGAGGAACACCGGUGGCGAAGGCAGUUCUCUGGCCUUACCUGACGCUGAGGAGCGAAGCGUGGGAGCGAACAGGA
rnacentral:rRNA from 1 species